CAUCUCUCCCACCCGAUUCGAACGUUAUCACUCGAUUGAAUGGGGCGUUAUCAGCAGUUAUCAGCCCAUAGAAAUGGGCCAGGAGGGGCCUCCUGUGCCUACUAGUAGGCUCAGAAGGCCGUGAUCAUCCAUCCAAAUGGUUGAUCACCCACAAAUAUACAAGAGAAGACUCCAGAUCCAAUCCCAGAAUUCCUGCUCCCCGGUAAUCGGAAGUCUACUGGACGAAUGCGGGAACGUUGCGAUAUUUCCUGCUUAAUAUUUUCAGAUAUGGGAAAAGCACUUAAGAUGAGCACACGUUUCAGGAACGUUAAAAUUAAGUUGGUGAGGAGGUCUAUGGUGGGCCCUGCAAGUUUUCUUACCUCAGUCAAGGUCUUCCCCAUCCCAGCUACAAUCAGACCCACCCUUCAGACGCUUCUAUUACAUCUCAACCUGCUGAACCUGAUGAUGUGACACCGAGCUGUUCUGAGAGCGCAUACAGUAAGGCAAAGAAGAGAGAGCUUCAUGCCUGGGAUGCAGUCAAGGAUGAGAUGCUUAAGGUGACGUUUGAAUGUUCAGCACCGAUCACUACCCAGUGUGCUGUCUGCCGAGAACAUGCUGAUUAUAGGUGCAUUGAGUGCAGCUCCACUGCAGUGUUCUGUGAGGUUUGCCUGAAGAGGAUUCACAGAAAUUCACUGCAUCUUCCUGAAAAGUGGAAUAGUGUUUACUAUGAGCCAUCCUCCCUGGGGUUAUUCUUAUAUUUACCUGAAGCCCAUGGCACCCAUGCUGUGUACACAAAGGACAUGAAGGUCAUUGUCAGCACAGGACGGCUCUGCACCGUUACAGUCACCAUGUGUGCGUGUGAACCAGAAACCUGUACUCUGCUGAGAUCUGGGCUCUGACCAGCACCAGCCACAAGCCCCAGACAGCCUUCUCCAUCCCUCUGCUAGAGCUUUCUGUUUCUCUGUCACUGGAGUGUCAGGUUUCUGUUGAGGGUUUUUCGCAACACCCCAUAUCCCAUUUUAGGCAUCACCACUUCCGACAAAGAAGUUUGGUUGAUAUUUGCCCACAAUUAAAUGAUGGCACCAUAUGCCCAGCAUGUCCAACGGCGGAUGGAGAUAUGAUUGUCACAUUGGAUGCCAACUUUGGCCUUGUGAGGAAUCAAAGCUCUGGGACAAGUGCAGUUGAUCCAUUACACGGAACCCGCGUGUUUGUUAAUGAAAAGGAUGUAGAGGAAUACCUGCUAUCACAUCUUGACAGCUCAAAGCCUCGAGGUUAAUCAUUGUUGCAGAAUUUCAUUCGAGUCCAUGAAAUAUUAAUUAAACUUGUGAAAAAAGAUCACUAUUCCUCUCAUAAAUCUAUGUUUUCCUUAAAUAUUUAGGACUGCAGUAAGCUGCUCUCAUUCAAGGUAUUAUAAUAUAAUAUAAUAUAAUUACUUUACUGCGUUACUUGUGCAGACAUGUUGUUUUACUAGGUCUGAUCUAUUUUAAAGUUUAGGCACUGUAUUUAAGCAUACAUAUACACCACUAGUCUGUCUGUAUGAGUACAAAAUUACAAAAUAAACUGUAAUUGUUACUGUACAAGCACAGUAAAAUAUUUAUAUAAAAAAUAUUGCACUACUGUUAUUUUGCAUAGAAUACAUUGUUCAACAAUAUUUUUGCACACUCAUCCAACUGCAUUUAUUACCACUGUUCUCACGUUCCUGCUCUUCAUAAUGUUUAUAUAAUCCUUCAUUGCUCUGUUCAUAAUGUACAUACAAUCCCUACAUUGCAUUCAUAUUUAUAUUCUGUAUAUACUCUGAUCAAUAUUGUAUAUAGCAACUCCACUGUACAUUCUGUAUAUCAUAGCUUUACUUACUCUGCACUUUUAUGUAUAUAAAACACUAUAUUCUUGCACUUCUGGUUAGAUGCUAACUGCAUUUCAUUAGCUCUGUACUUGUACUCUGCAUAAUGACAAUAAAGUUGAAUCUAAUCUAAUCUAAAAAAAAAAAAAAAUGUGUUUACCAUAAUGUAAUAUGUUAUUUACUGUAAUGUACAAAUGUGUGGGAGAUGUUUUGUUUUUUGUGAGCUCACCAUCAAAAUCCCCUUCGACUGAGUUGAAAUGAAAAUAAAUUAUUGGAUCUUGAAUCCUCUGAAGCAACUAUGAGUUUGUAAAAACAUAAAAUAAAAGGGAACAUAGAGGUGUAUUGACUCUACGAGUUACAGCCAUGUUUUC